GACGAACGCUGGCGGCGUGCUUAACACAUGCAAGUCGAACGGAAAGGCCCUGCUUUUGUGGGGUGCUCGAGUGGCAACGGGUGAGUAACACGUGAGUAACCUGCCCUUGACUUUGGGAUAACUUCAGGAAACUGGGGCUAAUACCGGAUAGGAGCUCCUGCUGCAUGGUGGGGGUUGGAAAGUUUCGGCGGUUGGGGAUGGACUCGCGGCUUAUCAGCUUGUUGGUGGGGUAGUGGCUUACCAAGGCUUUGACGGGUAGCCGGCCUGGGAGGGUGACCGGCCACAUUGGGACUGAGAUACGGCCCAGACUCCUACGGGAGGCAGCAGUGGGGAAUAUUGCACAAUGGGCGGAAGCCUGAUGCAGCAACGCCGCGUGCGGGAUGACGGCCUUCGGGUUGUAAACCGCUUUCGCCUGUGACGAAGCGUGAGUGACGGUAAUGGGUAAAGAAGCACCGGCUAACUACGUG
rnacentral:rRNA from 1 species